rnacentral:rRNA from 1 species
CCUACGGGUGGCAGCAGUGAGGAAUAUUGGUCAAUGGACGAGAGUCUGAACCAGCCAAGUAGCGUGAAGGAUGACUGCCCUAUGGGUUGUAAACUUCUUUUAUAUGGGAAUAAAAUGUUCCACGUGUGGGAUUUUGUAUGUACCAUAUGAAUAAGGAUCGGCUAACUCCGUGCCAGCAGCCGUGGUAAUACGGAGGAUCCGAGCGUUAUCCGGAUUUAUUGGGUUUAAAGGGAGCGUAGGUGGAUUGUUAAGUCAGUUGUGAAAGUUUGCGGCUCAACCGUAAAAUUGCAGUUGAAACUGGCAGUCUUGAGGACAGUAGAGGUGGGCGGAAUUCGUGGUGUAGCGGUGAAAUGCUUAGAUAUCACGAAGAACUCCGAUUGCGAAGGCAGUUCACUGGACUGCAACUGACACUGAGGCUCGAAAGUGUGGGUAUCAAACAGGAUUAGAUACCCCUGUAGUC